AUGGUCGAGCGGUACGACAGGGGACUGCAAAUCCCUUUUCCCCAAUUCAAAUCCGGGU
rnacentral:tRNA from 1 species